CCCCUAAGACCUCCUCUACCCUAAUGCGCCUGCAGUACCCAAGGUCUCUAUGGCUCUCUGACUGCCCCAACUCCCCUAGCUCUAAGCUCCGAUCCCCCUCCUCAUUAAGAAGGUCUCGAAAGUACGCCUGCCACCUCUGUUUGAUUUGUGAGUCCCCCAUCAGAACUCUACCCUCCUCGUCCUUGAUACACCUGACUUGGUCAAGAUCGCGUGCCUUCCUCUCCCUUACUUUAGCCAACCGGAAUAACUUCUUGUCCCCACCUCUCUCCCCUAGUUCCUCAUACAUGCGUCCGAACGCCUCGUUUUUAGCUUCCGUGACAGCCAUANNN
rnacentral:lncRNA from 1 species